rnacentral:rRNA from 1 species
AUUGAACGCUGGCGGCAUGCCUUACACAUGCAAGUCGAACGGUAACGGGCCUUCGGGUGCCGACGAGUGGCGAACGGGUGAGUAAUGUAUCGGAACGUACCUUUCAGUGGGGGAUAACGUAGCGAAAGUUACGCUAAUACCGCAUAUUCUGUGAGCAGGAAAGCAGGGGAUCGCAAGACCUUGCGCUGAUUGAGCGGCCGAUAUCAGAUUAGCUAGUUGGUGAGGUAAAGGCUCACCAAGGCGACGAUCUGUAGCGGGUCUGAGAGGAUGAUCCGCCACACUGGAACUGAGACACGGUCCAGACUCCUACGGGAGGCAGCAGUGGGGAAUUUUGGACAAUGGGGGCAACCCUGAUCCAGCCAUGCCGCGUGAGUGAAGAAGGCCUUCGGGUUGUAAAGCUCUUUCGGCCGGGAAGAAAUCGUAUGGGCUAAUACCCUGUGCGGAUGACGGUACCGGCAUAAGAAGCACCGGCUAACUCCGUG